rnacentral:rRNA from 1 species
GCGUGGCUAUCAUGCAAGUCGAGCGGACAGAAGGGAGCUUGCUCCCGGAUGUUAGCGGCGGACGGGUGAGUAACACGUGGGUAACCUGCCUGUAAGACUGGGAUAACUCCGGGAAACCGGAGCUAAUACCGGAUAGUUCCUUGAACCGCAUGGUUCAAGGAUGAAAGACGGUUUCGGCUGUCACUUACAGAUGGACCCGCGGCGCAUUAGCUAGUUGGUGAGGUAACGGCUCACCAAGGCGACGAUGCGUAGCCGACCUGAGAGGGUGAUCGGCCACACUGGGACUGAGACACGGCCCAGACUCCUACGGGAGGCAGCAGUAGGGAAUCUUCCGCAAUGGACGAAAGUCUGACGGAGCAACGCCGCGUGAGUGAUGAAGGUUUUCGGAUCGUAAAGCUCUGUUGUUAGGGAAGAACAAGUGCAAGAGUAACUGCUUGCACCUUGACGGUACCUAACCAGAAAGCCACGGCUAACUACGUGCCAGCAGCCGCGGUAAUACGUAGGUGGCAAGCGUUGUCCGGAAUUAUUGGGCGUAAAGGGCUCGCAGGCGGUUUUUUUAAGUCUGAUGUGAAAGCCCCCGGCUCAAUCGGGGAGGGUCAUUGGAAACUGGGUAAACUUUAGGGCAGUAAAAGAAGAAGAGAGAAUGCCAUCGUUGUAACGGGCUAAAUGCGCUAUUCUCUUGGAGGGAACCCUCGUUGACCGAGGGCUAAUCCAUAGUUCCUGUUACCUUUCCCUCUUUAUUCGUGUAUGGUCGGGAAUAGGUUACAGUACGUUGUUAUAUUUGUGUUUUCCUCUCUGCGCACAAUAUCGAAUCGACUCUGAUACAUAGAUACAAUAUAUACAGUAGUGUACGUGUGUCUCGCGCCCGUAUCUCUUC